GUUUAAAUAAGGUGCUGCGGCACUUGAGUUCUGCAAAAGACACCUAUUCGCUGACCAGACAAAGAUGCUUAGCCACAACUCACAACUCUCAGGGUGCAGUUCGAAGAGGAGGAAGCAGCAUGGCAUAUAAAGCUCAUGCUCCCUUGAAGGCUGGUGAUUGAGACAAGUUAUGUCUUCUAGCAUUUGACUCCCUCAAAGAGAUUGCAGGACUUCCCUCUGAUUGCAGGUGGCUCAAUCCACUCAGAUCACCUAGAAACUUGAUAGAGAUUUAGAAUCUUAAAGAAGACAGAAGCUUAGACAGAGCAUGUAGCCCAGCCCAUCAACAGAUGAAGAAGUUGAAUCCUGCAGGGACUACAAGGAGGUAAGUCUCUCUUAUAAUUGUACAUGCUAUCAACCAGUGCAAAUUAAUAUGGUAUCAAGAAUAUGAAGAAUCAAAAGACUAAAG
rnacentral:lncRNA from 1 species